AGGUUUUCUGAUGGGGAACCAAAGGGAAGCCACAGGAGUGGUCAUGCACCCCUCAUGAGCAGUUCUGGGGAGUCUUUUUGGGGCUCCUGGAGUAGGCAGCAGAGAGGUGCAGCCUCACCACCAAGUCUGUUUCCCUGGAGGAGAGAGGGGGCAGCAGGGUGAUCUCCUACCUCUAUGCAGCCAGGAGCCUCUGCUCCCCUCUACCAGGCUGGAGCCUCCACAUUUAUUUAUUGGCAAAUAAAAUUUGCAGAAUUUUAAAACAUUGUGCACAGAAUUUUUAUUUUUUUGGUACAGAA